CCUUAGUCCUUCGGCAGCCGUCGUUGCGUCAUAUCAAUGGCGUCAGCGAGUCAAUAUGAUUCUCGUCGUCAUAGUAAUAUGGCGCAAACGCGUCCAAAUUUUUUUCAUAUUGACUCUUUGACGUCAUUUUGCUAAUAUGAAUGUGAAAAAUCCAUAUUUGGUUAGCCAUUGAGUUGAUAUGACAAUUUCACAGUUGGCUGUUAGCCAAUCAGAA